rnacentral:lncRNA from 1 species
AAAAGCAGAUUCUCAAUUGAAGAAUGAAGAGUUCCUACUGGAGUGCUCACAUCAACAUUCCAGAGAAUAGGAAUUGUUUUCAGAUAGGAAACUAUAACUAAUUAGGAAUGGUGACUUGUCCGCACCUGGUUUGUUUUAUUUUUAAUUGGUCUUUAAUUUUUUUUUAAAUAUGGAAUUCUUUGGUCUAUGCAUUUGUACCUGGUGCCCUCAAGAGGCUAGAGGAAACAGUUGAAACUCUAGGGUCUAGACUACAGUUGUGAGCUGCCAUUCUGGUGCUGCGAUUCAAACCAGAGUUCCCAAGAGCCACUGAUACUCGUAACUGCUGAGCCAUCUCUGACUCCCGCCUGCUUUCCUAAGUGAGAGAAGACAAGCUGGCCUCCCUCCCACAGGUCAGUUCUAGGCAUGACUCUAGAGGGAGGGGCUAGCUCAGGGCAAGUUAAGUCCUCCCACAGGUCAGUUCUAGGCAUGACUCUAGAGGGAGGGGCUAGCUCAGGGCAAGUUAAGUCCUCCCACAGGUCAGUUCUAGGCAUGACUCUAGAGGGAGGGGGCUAGCUCAGGGCAAGUUAAGUCCUCCCACAGGUCAGUUCUAGGCAUGACUCUAGAGGGAGGGGCUAGCUCAGGGCAAGUUAAGUCCUCCCACAGGUCAGUUCUAGGCAUGACUCUAGAGGGAGGGGGCUAGCUCAGGGCAAGUUAAGUCCUCCCACAGGUCAGUUCUAGGCAUGACUCUAGAGGGAGGGGGCUAGCUCAGGGCAAAUUAAGUUUUGACACCCGUUUCUAUUCCUCUAUCCUCAUGUGCUCCAUAAACUUGUUUACUUUCAAAAAUAAGAGGCUCACUGUUUUGCCCAACUCCUGGGCUCAAGUGAUUUCCUAUCUCAAUAGCUAGGACCAUGCCAUUACACCCUUUUCUGCCCAUGCACUCCUCAAAGACAAUGCCUCUUCAUAUUAUGCCAUUUAUUAAGAUGUCCUUUGCCUUGACAUGGGUAAUUUUUGGUUCUUGGUUUACUCCUUUGCUAAAGAACAUAUUACCUCAAGAAAUUGACACUGUUUUGAAUGACAGAAAACUAGCAUCAUAUGAAUUGAAGGCAUCUGUUUUUAACAUUAUGUGAAUGGAGGAGAGAAUCAUACAUGUAGUGCUCAUGUCGAAGUCAGAGAAUGACUUAGGGAAGUUGUUACACCACGUGGUUCUUUGGUAUUAAACCCAGCUCAUAAAGACUUCAGCAGUCAGUAGCUUUACCUACUGGAUCUCUCUGGCCCACAAGAGAGAUUGGCCCUCUGCCUGCCCAUUUUCUCAUUUUGUAGCUCAAACCCAGGGCCUUAUCCACAGGAAAUGUUCUACCACUGUGCAGUCUCCACACUGAGAUGAGGUCUCUGUAGCCUAGGCCAGCCUUUAAGUUGUGAACUUCCCUGCCUUUGUCUCAGAAGGACUGGGAUUACACCACACCUGGUCAGUUAAUCUCUUUGAAGGCAGAGUUAGAUGCCUCAAAUUUUAUUAACCUUUUAAUGUACUUUUGCCACUCAGUGAAAAAUUAAGUAGAAUAUAAUUCUCUUUAAGGCAUUCACAUGAUACAUGUUCCUUCCCAACAGAAUUUAGUGUAGUUUAGUGUUUUCCAGAAGAGCUAAGUUCAGAAGCUUUACGUUAAGAAAAUUACAUUGUAGAAUCAACCUACAAUCCACUUUUAGAAGUAUUCUCAUGUGGCCUCAAAUUUUUCAAUUUUUUUAAAAUAGGUUUUGUGUGUGAGUACCUCAUGUAUAUAUACAUCACAUGUCUGCCUGGUAGCUGCAGAGGCCAAAAGAACUUGUGAUCCACACAUUGAGGGUGCUGGGAUAUAAAACCAGGUUCUUUGCAAGAACAUCAAGUGCUCUUAACUGCUAACCAUUUCUUUAGCUCUCAAGACUUUUAGCUUUUGGUUCAGAACAUGUUCUAUCUUGUAAGACUUUAGUUUUGAUUGUGGUACUUUGCAGUAUAGUUCUAAAACUUUUCCAUCUUUGGGAGCUGAAGUAUAAUUCUGGUCAUUUCUAGGAUAGUUAGCAGUACGUAAAAAUAACUUGGAGGUUUUUACUUGUUGACUUUGUACAAAACCUACUAUGUACAGUGAAUCUAAGGCUAAGCUAAAUUUGGAGAUCUGGGCCACAAUCUCACAUUUGGCCUCUUACAAGGAGAAAAUGAGAAUUAGAAACUUGUCAGUUUGAAACAUGAAUACCAUUAGUCAUCCUAGAAACAAUACUAUCCUCUGUAGAUUUCACCCAUGUCAACUAAGUUUAAUUUCAGUAGUAGCUCUUAUGUCUUCCUACUUCCUGUCAACCCAAUCAGUUGUACCUAGCCUAGGUACCCAUAUUAUAUCCGGGAACAGUUUUGUAUUUUGAGACAGGAUUCCACUGGCCUUUAUUAGUCAUAAUGUAUCAUGCAGGCUCUGCCUCCCAAGUACUGAGAUUAAUGCAUGAUGUCUGGCCCAUGUAAUGUCUUAAAUCUUACCAUAUUUUUGUGACUUAACCUACCAACACUUUCUUCUAUUGGUAAUUUCUCUUUCUUCCUAUCCCCCUGUAUUUUCUUAUCUCAGGACUCUUCAUCCCCUUCUAAGUACUUGCUAGUAGCUAUCAGUGGUUUUUCAAGAUAAAGGGUGUGCAGCAGGAAAUGUGGUCUACAUUGUUGGAUGGUACAAUUCUUCCAUGGCAGUGUUAAUGUAUACCAUCAGUUGUACUGUCCCAUGAUGCAUUUAUAAUUUGGUGCUGAAUGGAGAAUUAAUGUUAAGGUUUUGGUUUUUAAUGUAUAUGGGAGUUUGGUUUUCUUCAUGAAAAUUUACUCUGUGUGUGCCUGAUACCCUUGGAGACAAAGAUUCCCUAGAACUGUAAAUAGAAAUUGAGGUGUAUGUUGUGAAUCAAACUGGGAUCCUGUGGAAGAACAGCCUAUACUCUAACUGUUGAGCCAUCUCCAACCCUGACUUUCAGAUUAACAAGCUCUUUAAAAUUGUAGUCAUUUGUUGUUGAGGAAAAACUUGAUACAGGACAUUGCUUUCAUUUAAAAUGUCUAAUAUUGCCUCAGAAUCAUAAUACAGACUCCUUAGUGUGAACAAGAAACGGAUUUAGUCUCUUAAAAAUCACUAGGGUUUAACCAUAUGUAAAUUUUUGAAAUAAUGCUGGAAAGAGCUCAACAGUUAAAGAACACAGGCUGCUCUUGCGGAAAAAAACAAAGUCUGGGUCUCAGUGCCCACACACAACUCACUACUGACUGCAACUCCAGUUCCACUGGACCUAAUGCCCUUUUCUAGCAUCCUUGGGCACCAGGUACACUGGUGAUGCACAGACACAUUGGGAAAAAAAACUAACACUUUUAAACUGUUUCAAGCCUAACUCUCCAGUGAUAAGCAUAACAAUGUUCAUUCCAUUCUUAGCUAUACUGUAGUACCACUUCUAUAAAUUAUUCCUUUAAAAUUCUCCAAUACUUUUUGAUAUGCUUGGUUCAGUGUUAACAUUUAUCUUAGUUAAAGACAAAACCAGGUUUCACACUGUACUUUUGGAGUUGCUCAAUUUUAUUCACAAACCAGAGUACCCUUUAGUGCUAUAAUCAAAGAAAUCACAUGAAAAAAGCCUUCCAUCUCCCACGGAAAAAAAAUCACAAGUUUUAAUACUGUAUAUGUAUCUUCUAUAAAUGGAAUAAUAUCAUAUCUGGGAGUAUGGCUCAUAACUGGCACUGCACUCAUGUUUUAAAACACACAUUAAACAUAAGGGUCACAUUCUAAGGUCACUCAAGAAAUACAAACCAAGAUUGUUCAUCAUUCAGUUUAUUACAUGUAUGAAUAUUAACAUCUCAUGUUACCCAUCUAAUUCAAUCAAAACC